UUUAUUUGGACAUCGUCAAUGGCAGUCGGCAGGGUUUAAGAUCAUCAGUUGUGCGACCUGUUAGUCAAAUGCGUUUUGUUAAAAUAUACUUUUUCACUUUUUUUGGUCUUUCGGAAAAUGUUGUUUGUGCUAUAUUUAGAACCCUCUACAACGAAAUUUGUUAUACAUGCACACGUAUAAAAAAAAAUGGGGUUUUUAUCCAACGCAAUCAUAGGUUUGAACGUUGUUUUAAAUUUAGACCAGUAUAUACUUAUAUAGCGGUAUAUUUAACAUUUUCAUAAAUCGCGGAGGUGUGGCGAGCCACAAAACAAGGUUCAAUCCACAUUUUUUUCUUAAAAUUUCUGCAUCAAGUCAGGAAUAUGGCAGUUGUUAUCUAAUACCAAUAGUUCGUUUCUAUAUGUUGCAUUGCUGUUGUUUUUGAUGCACUUCUGUGUUCUGCUAUUUCGUUGUUUUCUUCUUAUAGUUGGUGUAUUCCCUCGGCUUUAGUUUGCAUCCCGGAUUUGUUUUAUCUUUAUCGAUUGGUGACUUUUGAACAGCAGUAUACUGCUGUUGCCUUU
rnacentral:lncRNA from 1 species